rnacentral:rRNA from 1 species
CCUACGGGUGACAGCAGUGAGGAAUAUUGGUCAAUGGACGAGAGUCUGAACCAGCCAAGUAGCGUGAAGGAUGACUGCCCUAUGGGUUGUAAACUUCUUUUAUAUGGGAAUAAAAUGUUCCACGUGUGGGAUUUUGUAUGUACCAUAUGAAUAAGGAUCGGCUAACUCCGUGCCAGCAGCCGCGGUAAUACGGAGGAUCCGAGCGUUAUCCGGAUUUAUUGGGUUUAAAGGGAGCGUAGGUGGGUUGUUAAGUCAGUUGUGAAAGUUUGCGGCUCAACCGUAAAAUUGCAGUUGAAACUGGCAGUCUUGAGUACAGUAGAGGUGGGCGGAAUUCGUGGUGUAGCGGUGAAAUGCUUAGAUAUCACGAAGAACUCCGAUUGCGAAGGCAGCUCACUGGACUGCAACUGACGUUGAGGCACGAAAGCGUGGGGAGCAAACAGGAUUAGAUACCCCAGUAGUC